AGUGAUUAAGCACUCGGCUGCCAACCGAAAGGUCGAUGGUUUGAACCCAUCAGUCACUC
rfam:Loxodonta africana unplaced genomic scaffold scaffold_21, whole genome shotgun sequence.